rnacentral:rRNA from 1 species
GGCAGUAAAGGGUGAUAGCCCCGUAUCCGAAGGUGUUAGUGUUGUGAACUCGACGAGUAGGGCGGGACACGUGUUAUCCUGUCUGAAUAUGGGGGGACCAUCCUCCAAGGCUAAAUACUCCUGAUUGACCGAUAGUGAACCAGUACCGUGAGGGAAAGGCGAAAAGAACCCCGGCGAGKGGAGUGAAAUAGAACCUGAAACCGUGUACGUACAAGCAGUGGGAGCCUUGAUUUAUCAGGGUGACUGCGUACCUUUUGUAUAAUGGGUCAGCGACUUAUAUUCUGUAGCAAGGUUAACCGWAUAGGGGAGCCGUAGGGAAACCGAGUCUUAACUGGGCGAAUAAGUUGCAGGGUAUAGACCCGAAACCCGGUGAUCUAGCCAUGGGCAGGUUGAAGGUUGGGUAACACUAACUGGAGGACCGAACCGACUAAUGUUGAAAAAUUAGCGGAUGACUUGUGGCUGGGGGUGAAAGGCCAAUCAAACCGGGAGAUAGCUGGUUCUCCCCGAAAGCUAUUUAGGUAGCGCCUCGUGAACUCAUCUUCGGGGGUAGAGCACUGUUUCGACUAGGGGGUCAUCCCGACUUACCAACUCGAUGCAAACUACGAAUACCGAAGAAUGUUAUCACGGGAGACACACGGCGGGUGCUAACGUUCGUCGUGAAGAGGGAAACAACCCAGACCGCCAGCUAAGGUCCCAAAGUCAUAGUUAAGUGGGAAACGAAGUGGGAAGGCUCAGACAGCCAGGAUGUUGGCUUAGAAGCAGCCAUCAUUUAAAGAAAGCGUAAUAGCUCACUGGUCGAGUCGGCCUGCGCGGAAGAUGUAACGGGGCUAAACUAUGCACCGAAGCUGCGGCAGCGA